UGCCUUGUGGUGUUCCCUACAGGCUGUGUUCUUUACACUGGGUAUAUAGAAAGAAGAAGUAUAAUAAACCCACCUAUAUGCACUUCAGCCCAUGCCCUUUGACUGGUCUACAACAUGAGGGCAAACAUAA